UUGUGAUGAAACCCAAACUGAAAUAGCUGGAAUUACCGGCAGAUUGUUCAGUGGUGAAUUGUAGAAUUCUGAGU